GUCAUCCGCACCGUAAGGGCGGAGUCUUGCACGUGUUUGUUGGGCGGCUCAUACCGGCGAGCACUACACUGGUAUGUUAAUGUAGACUGAACUGCAGAGGCGACGUCUUGCGCGUGUAUUCGCCGAUCAACAUCGUGCGGACAUAUAUUUUCAAGGCCCUCGAUGUGUCUGCCGUAAACCAUAUUGUACGAUGACAGGAUGCAUGUACAUCCAUUGGGCGGCAUCUCACACACGAACACAAAUCCUUGUUUGUAUUUGAUGGUAUAAAUCCGUCGAUCAAAAUUGGGCGCCAAUAGCUCGACUAAUUUUUGAAGGCGACAGAAUGAACAUAUAUCUCUUGACCUCAAUAGAUCUGCAAACACAAAAAUAAUACAAACUAGUAGGAAAAUUAUUAAUAGAAUUAAUUACAGAUCAAAUAAAAAUAGAAUACAUAUCACCUGAUACAGUCUUGGUAGACGUAGCAAUUGAGGAGAGAAUAGAAUCUGAACCACUAGUAAAAUUCUCUCACGUGAAGUAACGUAUUAUCUUUGGAGUGGUAUGUCCAAACUUCACGCAGACUGUUCAGACAUCAUCAGUGAAUAGAAUUGCUCUCGCAUAUUCGAUACAAUCUCCUCUCUGAGUUUGGCUCUACUGACCAAAGUGCCGAUCGGACGGGGCGAAGCACCAAGUGGAACUAGGCGGAUCUGGUCAGGGAACAACGGCGAGCGGGGUCGAGGCAGGUGCGUAGGCACGGUGGCGAGGUCGCGCUGGCGCGGAGCAGCGACGUGCCGGGUCAAGUCAUGGAGCUGCCGCUUGCAUGUCGGGGCAGCUUUGAGCGAGGUCGCGGCUGUGGAGCCAGGCGCGGCGGGGCAAGGCAGCGCGGUGCAGGAGCUGCGGUCGGAAGUAUGGAGUAGCGAGGCCUUAGCGGCUGGCCACCUUGGCGAGUGAUGUAUUAGACUAGUCGCCGGAGUUGCUUGUCCAGGCACCGCAAAAAAAUGAUCCACUAUCUGCUUUUUCAUGGGAUGCUUUGGCGUGUGUAGUACUAGUUGCCUCGCAUUGAUGUGAAUUGUUGAUUGAUUCUUUACCCGGGUCGAUCCCCUGGCCGCCUCUUACAAAGUGCUCCAAUUUCGGUUCAGUCUAUGUUUUACCUCAGAUCUGAACACGACCAUGUAUACGAGCAUUGUUGCAGUA